rnacentral:lncRNA from 1 species
UUCCAGAACUGUAAGUUCUAGAAGACAGAAUUCUAAAAUCACCCUUCCUGGGAUAAAAUCAACAUGUCAGCAGAACCUCAUUCCUUCUGAAGACUCUUAGAGAAAAUCUUGUUCCUUGACUUUUUCAGUUGCUAGAGGCCACCUGCAUUCUUUGGCUUAUGACCCUUCUUCAUUCCCAAAGCCAACAACAUAACAUGUUCAAGUCUCUGAGUCUCUGCUUCUAUUUUCCGUUUAUAGCACCUUUUUGAUUACACUGGGUCAAUCCAGAUAAUACGAGAUGAUUGUUAGAUACCAAAGUCUUUAAUUCAGCCACACCUUUUUGUCACAUAUGAUAACAUAUUCACAAGUAUCAAGAAUCAGUUUAUGGUUAUCUUUUGGGUGGUAUUAUUCUGCCUAGCACAAGCCGCAAGCAGAAUUCAAAGGAACAUUAGACCUAUAAAUGCCUGCCUUAGAAAGUAAGAAAGGCUCAAAACUACUUAACUAAACAUGCAAUCUGAGAAAUCUUAAAAAGAACCUCAGACUAAACUUAAAUUUAAAGGAAUAGGGAUCCCUGGGUGGCGCAGCAGUUUGGCGUCUGCCUAUGGCCCAGGGCGCGAUCCUGGAGACCCGGGAUCAAAUCCCAUGUCGGGCUCCCGGUGCAUGGAGCCUGCUUCUCCCUCUGCCUUUGUCUCUGCCUCUCUCUCUCUCUCUCUCUCUGUGAAUAUCAUAAAUAAAAAUUAAAAAAAAAAAAUUUAAAGGAAUAAAAUACUAGUCAAAAAAUGUGAAAAACAAUUGUAACAUAAAAAGAGGACCCACAAAGUUCAGCAAAAACAAAUAUUUAGGGGUAUCUGGGUGGCUCAGCCAGUUAAAUAUCUAUCUUUGGCUCAGGGUAUGAUUCCAGGGUCCUGGGAUUAUGUCCCUUAUUAGGCUCCCCCUAGGGAGCCUGCAUCUCCCUCUGCCUAUGUCUUUGCCUCUCUCUGUGUGUUUCUCAUGAAUAAAUAAAUAAAAUCGUAAAAAAAAAAAGAAAAAUGGAGAAUAUGUGCAUAAGCAAUACCAGGAUAUAUUUUUUUUUUUUUUAGAGGACAUACUACAAUCACUGCAAUGUAUGCCAAUGAACAAUUUGGUAACAUUAAAUUCGAAAAUUUAAAAUGUAAUAUGUAGGCUACUCAAAACACAGCUUAUCAAAAUGAUUCAAGAUAAUUAUAAAAUAUGAAUGAUCCUAUAAAUGGUAAAUAAAAAGGAACAAUAGCAAAGCCCCUAUCCAACUGCCAUAAAAUAAUUCAGGUGCUAAUUCAGUCAUUUCAACAAAAUUUUACCAAAGAUUAAAAGUUCAAAUAGUGUCAGUCUAUAUAACACUUCUAUGGAAUAGAAAAAAAAGAUGAUUUAUCUUCCAGGUAAUAACUGUUAGCUACAAAAGAAAAAAAAAAAAAA